AUUCCAGCUCCAAGAGCGUAUAUUAAAGUUGUUGCAGUUAAAAAGCUCGUAGUUGGAUUUCUGGUCUAAUGCGCCUGGCCCGCUGCCGUUAGGUAUGUGAGUGCCGGUGCGCGUUUACCAUCCUUCCAGAGAACACUUCUACCAUUUAUUUGGACGGAUGUUGUCUUCUGGAUCUUUUACUUUGAAAAAAUUAGAGUGUUUAAAGCAGGCCUUUGCUGUGAAUACAUUAGCAUGGAAUAAUAAUCUAGGCUUUCGGUUCUGUUUUGUUGGUUUCUAGUACUGAAGUAAUGAUUGAUAGGGAUAGUUGGGGGUGCUAGUAUUGGCCGGCCAGAGGUGAAAUUCUUGGAUUUUGGAAAGAUGAACUACUGCGAAGGCAUUUACCAAGGAUGUUUUCAUUA
rnacentral:rRNA from 1 species